rnacentral:rRNA from 1 species
CAGGCGACGACGGUAGCCGCCUGAGAGGGCGACGACCACACUGGGACUGAGACACGCCCAGACUCUACGGGAGGCAGCAGUGGGGAAUAUGCACAUGGCGAAGCCUGAUGCAGCGACGCCGCGUGAGGGAUGACGGCUUCGGGUUGUAAACCUCUUUCAGCAGGGACGAAGCGAGAGUGACGGUACCUGCAGAAGAAGCACCGGCCAACUACGUGCCAGCAGCCGCGGUAAUACGUAGGGUGCGAGCGUUGUCCGGAAUUACUGGGCGUAAAGAGCUCGUAGGCGGUUUGUCGCGUCGUCCGUGAAAACUUGGGGCUCAACCCCAAGCUUGCGGGCGAUACGGGCAGACUUGAGUACUGCAGGGGAGACUGGAAUUCCUGGUGUAGCGGUGAAAUGCGCAGAUAUCAGGAGGAACACCGGUGGCGAAGGCGGGUCUCUGGGCAGUAACUGACGCUGAGGAGCGAAAGCGUGGGUAGCGAACAGGAUUAGAUACCCUGGUAGUCCACGCCGUAAACGGUGGGCGCUAGGUGUGGGUUUCCUUCCACGGGAUCCGUGCCGUAGCUAACGCAUUAAGCGCCCCGCCUGGGGAGUACGGCCGCAAGGCUAAAACUCAAAGGAAUUGACGGGGGCCCGCACAAGCGGCGGAGCAUGUGGAUUAAUUCGAUGCAACGCGAAGAACCUUACCUGGGUUUGACAUAUACCGGAAAGCCGUAGAGAUACGGCCCCCCUUGUGGUCGGUAUACAGGUGGUGCAUGGCUGUCGUCAGCUCGUGUCGUGAGAUGUUGGGUUAAGUCCCGCAACGAGCGCAACCCUUGUCCUGUGUUGCCAGCGCGUAAUGGCGGGGACUCGCAGGAGACUGCCGGGGUCAACUCGGAGGAAGGUGGGGACGACGUCAAGUCAUCAUGCCCCUUAUGUCCAGGGCUUCACACAUGCUACAAUGGCCGGUACAGAGGGCUGCGAUACCGUGAGGUGGAGCGAAUCCCUUAAAGCCGGUCUCAGUUCGGAUCGGGGUCUGCAACUCGACCCCGUGAAGUCGGAGUCGCUAGUAAUCGCAGAUCAGCAACGCUGCGGUGAAUACGUUCCCGGGCCUUGUACACACCGCCCGUCACGUCAUGAAAGUCGGUAACACCCGAAGCCGGUGGCCUAACCCUUGUGGAGGGAGCCGUCGAAGGGGAUUAG